ensembl:lincRNA
UGAACAAAGGAAGCUACAUUUUAGUUUGGAAAAUACAGACAUCGCCCCUCUGAGCAGAAAGGCAUGGAGAGGAGAAAUUGUGUGCCAGUUCUCUGCAGUGUCCAGCCGGGGUCAGGGACAAAAGAGACAAGUAGUGUAAAGACUGUAAUGUGGACUGACUCAGCACAUGAGUGAAGUGACAGUGUUGACCUGGGCAUCCAGCCGGGCUGGGGAUGAGACCGGUUAGAGCGUUCUGGUCAGGUGUCCACGCUGGGAUACUGAUCAGUUCACGGCAUGACAUAAGGCAGGGAAGCCCCCGUGCCUAGAAAACAAGACGAAAGCGCGGAGACAACUCUGGCAGGAGCAUUACAGGUAAUAGAAGAACCUCAGGCAGUCCUUGUGAGGGGCUCGAGAAGGAGAAGAGAGUAGGCACUCACACCACAUCACAGCAGAGGUGAAGGCAAAAGUGAUGAGUCAGAGAAAUACAGUGGAUAUUCACCAUAAGAACAAAUAAUGAGUCACACGUGGCCCCAAGGUUAAAGGGAAACAUUGCCCUUCAAAAGUGUAGCAUAAAUGAUGAUGCAAUAAAGAGAUGAGCAGCUCUCCCCUUGUCCUAUAUGGUCGUGUGUGUCCUGUCCCUGUGCUUUAAUAAAACCACCAUUUUGCACCAAAAAAAAUGAAAAAAAAAAAACAAUAAAUAAAAAAAAUAAAUAAAGGACUGACUACACCAUGCAAGCCUCAUGAACUUAUGCUGAUCUUUGUAUGAUCUGUGACUUGACUACAGCAUGCUUUCUUCUCCCUAAGACUUGGUCAAGCGUGCCGCGGUAGCCUGCGCCUGGGACCUGGAAGGCGGCCUGCUCUCAUUUGGCUCACUUGACAGUUUGUGCCAAUACAUUUUUUAAUUCUACUCUCCAGGUGGCAAGGCUGUUUUAUAACAAAUUGCUGGCUAAUUAGGGCAUAAAUGUUCUUUUCUUUGUUUCUCCCUGACCUUGCUCAUUCUCUGCUCGCAGAUGACAUGCCCUGGCCACCAGUUCCCGCUCCUGCUUUUACUCUUCCGCGAUCUGCUUACAUCACUCGUUACUGUCAGGACUCCAAUCUUCAUUUCCAACCUUCAUCUGUACUUCAACACGGAACAGACACAAUGCAUGAUGAGAAAACUCUAACAGUCUCAAAUGUGUCUCUGAACCUGAAGAGAUACAUUUCAGCCGGUGAAGAGGCUACUCAAGGAAAAGGAUUAAAUGUUAAUAUCCUAAAGUGCAGAAAGAGAGAAGACAGAGAGACACAGAGGGAAGACAGCCAUGUGAAGACCUGGGAAGAAAUUGGAGAAAUGUAGCUGCAAGCCAAUGACGACACACUGCCAGAUAGCCACCAGCAAGAAGGUAGGAGGAGGUAAGGAAAGAUUCUUCUCUAAAGCCUUCAGAAGCAGUCUGGCUCUGAUGACACCUUGAUUUCAGACUUCUACCCUCCACAACUAUGUGAAUAAAGUUUUGUGAUUUUUAAGCCACCCAAUACUUUGUUUUAAUGACCCUAGGAGAGUACAACCAUAUUUUCCGGCUACCUUUGCCACUGGGUGCAGCCAUGUAACUUAGUUCAAGCCUGCAGACAAGAUGAAAGUGUUUGCCACUUUCAGGUCUAGCUAAGACAACCCUCCCAUGAGCGAUCUCUCUUUACCCAUCUAGUGGCUAAAUAGAGAGGAAUACAUAAUCUAGAAGGUGGAAGAGCAACAGGUAGGAAAACAGCCCGAGUCCCUGAGUCACUGUGUGGAGCAGAGUUUCACUUCUUCUUAUUCCCUCCUCACUGACCCUCAGUAGACCAGAAUAACUUUUUCUCAUCAGUAUUUCAUCACUGAGAUUAUGGUGUUGUUUGUUACAACAGUUAGCCUAUGGUAACUAACCAGAUCUACUUAUGUUUUCCAGGGAUUCUGGAGCUAUACUCCUAUUUUUGGUCACCUGUUGUGUGAAUGAUACUCUCAGUGCAUCAAACCCUUUAGCCAUGGGAAAGGGAUCCAAUGUCCAGGAGCAAAGGAGCUACUCUGAUGAAAAAAAGAAUCAUAAGUAAUUAGAGGGGAAUCAAAAGAGAUGAAAAGAAAAAUAUUAUUGAUUAGGGGUGGAUAUGAGAAAGGGGAUACCUGAUGGG